rnacentral:rRNA from 1 species
AUUGAACGCUGGCGGCAUGCCUAACACAUGCAAGUCGAGCGAGCGGCGGACGGGUGAGUAAUGUCUAGGAAACUGCCUGAUGGCGGGGGAUAACUACUGGAAACGGUAGCUAAUACCGCAUACCAUCAGAUGUGCCCAGAUGGGAUUGGCUAGUAGGUGGGGUAACGGCUCACCUAGGCGACGAUCCCUAGCUGGUCUGAGAGGAUGACCAGCCACACUGGAACUGAGACACGGACCAGACUCCGACGGGAGGCAGCAGUGGGGAAGAUUGCACAAUGGGCGCAAGCCUGAUGCAGCCAUGCCGCGUGUGUGAAGAAGGCCUUCGGGUUGUAAAGCACUUUCAGCGGGGAGGCGUUACCCGCAGAAGAAGCACCGGCUAACUCCGUGCCAGCAGCCGCGGUAAUAC